rnacentral:lncRNA from 1 species
GCGGUGGGUGCGGCCUGGGCGCGGGUGGGCUAGAGCCUGGAGACCGCCGGGAGCCCGACUUCCUGGCGCUUUGCCCUUUGGGGAGCGGAGCCAAGGAACAGCGCCAACCUCUCUCCACAAGCCAGGGACCCUACGACCCACCGCCGCAGGCCAGAACCAGCAGCUGAUUUAGAUACCAUCAAGACACCUAAAACCUUAUCAUGAGCCAGAUGCUGUGGAAGAGAUUCUGGGAGAAUCCUGAGGACCCCCCAGUUGCAGCCAUGUCAAGACUGAUGCUGAGGAGGACCCCAACUGUCACGAGCAACACCCGUCGAACACAGCCACCUACUUGGGGAAAGAUCAAGAAGCUGUCACAGAUGGUGGAAGAAAACCUGAGGAAAGCGGGACAACCAGUCACAAUGAGUAAUUUAAUGAUAGCUAUGAGAGCGGUGAUCACCAUUGCUGUGAGUAUUCCUUCAGCAAGCGCUGACACAGAGAACAAUUAUACUUAUUGGGCAUAUCUAUCAAUCUUGGCUGGCAAUAAUGCCUGGAUGUAAUCACUCUAUGACCCAGUUACACAUGCUUUCUGAUCUCAGUAUUUGCCAUAAUGAAUCUGCUCCUAUAAUUAAGGCAU